AUUCAAAUAGUUUAAUUAAAAUAAUAAAUUGUGGAUUUAUAGAUGCUUUGUUGAGUUUUGGAUA
rnacentral:tRNA from 1 species